rnacentral:rRNA from 1 species
AUUGAACGCUGGCGGCAGGCCUAACACAUGCAAGUCGAGCGAGCGGCGGACGGGUGAGUAAUGUAUGGGGACUGCCCGAUAGAGGGGGAUAACUACUGGAAACGGUGGCUAAUACCGCAUACUCUCGGAUAAACCCUCGGGGAGGAGCUAGUAGGUAAGGAAAUGGCUUACCUAGGCGACGAUCCCUACAUGGUCUGAGCGGAUGAUAAGCCACACUGGGACGGAGACACGGCCCAGACUCCUACGGAGGCAGCAGUGGGGAAUAUUGCACAAUGGGCGCAAGCCUGAUGCAGCCAUGCCGCGUGUAUGAAGAAGGCCCUAGGGUUGUAAAGGACUUUCAGUCGGGAGGCGUUACCGACAGAAGAAGCACCGGCUAACUCCGUGCCAGCCGCCGCGGUAAUAC